UUGCUAAGCAUUCACUUAUUGACAUACCU
rnacentral:piRNA from 1 species